UGAUUAGUAUGCUAGUCGCACGAGUUCAGACUCGUGGCGAAUAGCUCAGUAACACGUGGCCAAACUACCCUUCGGAACACAAUACCCUCGGGAAACUGAGGCUAAUAGUGUAUACCACAGUCCACCUGGAAUGAGGACUGUGCUAAAUGCUCCGGCGCCGAAGGAUGUGGCUGCGGCCGAUUAGGUAGACGGUGGGGUAACGGCCCACCGUGCCAAUAAUCGGUACGGGUCAUGAGAGUGAGAACCCGGAGACGGAAUCUGAGACAAGAUUCCGGGCCCUACGGGGCGCAGCAGGCGCGAAACCUUUACACUGCACGACAGUGCGAUAAGGGAAUCCCAAGUGCGUAGGCAUAGAGCCUACGCUUUUGUCCACCGUAGGGAGGUGGACGAAUAAGGGCUGGGCAAGACCGGUGCCAGCCGCCGCGGUAAUACCGGCAGCCCGAGUGAUGGCCGAUCUUAUUGGGCCUAAAGCGUCCGUAGCUGGCCGCACAAGUCCAUCGAAAAAUCCACCCGCUCAACGGGGUGGGCGUCCGGUGGAAACUGUGUGGCUUGGGACCCGGAAGGCGCGACGGGGUACGUCCGGGGUAGGAGUGAAAUCCUGUAAUCCUGGACGGACCGCCGAUGGGCGAAAGCACGUCGCGGAGAACGGAUCCGACAGUGAGGGACGAAAGCUAGGGUCUUCGAAACGGGAUUAAAAUACCCGGGUAGUCCUAGCCGUAAAACAAUGCCUUGCUAGGGUGUGGCUCCCACUACGAGUGGGUGGCUGUGGCCGUAGGGAAGCCGCUAAACAAGCCGGCCUGGGAAAGUACGUUCCGCAAGGGAUGAAAACUUAAAAGGAAUUGGCGGGGGGAGGCACUACAAACCGGAAGAAGCCUGGCGGUUUAAUUGGAACUCAACGCCCGGAAAUCUUCACAGCAUCGACU
rnacentral:rRNA from 1 species